rnacentral:lncRNA from 1 species
UGAUCUUUCUCAAACUAUGACCCAGAGUCGCAAACAACGUGACAGUUUGGCACUGGAUUUUGAUGAGGAUUUUGGUCUUCCACCACCAAAAGGCGUUCUUCUGCAGAGGCGCCGCUUCUAUCAUGCUCUUGGGUUUGUAAAAUUCUGUAAAAAGUUCAAUCCAUAAAUUGAACCAGGAGCCUAUCAUUUCUCACUGGUCCACAUUUUGUAGAGGAGGCAGCCCUGAAGAGACCCGACAUCCUUUGUCACAUCCAGAGAUCAUUGAAAUUGAUAAAGAUGGUAAGAGUUUAUGGUUUCAAAUACAGUAGAACUGUCAGUGUUGGUGAAAUGACCACUAUUUAAAAAACUGUAAGGCAUCUAAAAAUGUGGUGUCUUUGGUGUGAUUGUGUAAAAAAAAUGUUGGAAAUACAACACUGAGAAUUUUCAGUAAACGAGGAGAUUACUUUCCAUUGGCCAUUUCUCUUUUCUUUUUUCAUUUUUAGAGAUUGGGGUCUGGUUUCCAAGCCUUCUGCCUUUGUGUGGGACAUAUCAAUUGCUAUAGACUCCUUAAGAUCAUAAUAUCUGAUUGGAUUAAAUUUUGGGUGUAUGUUUAAUACUAGCUCAUGAGUAUAGCUAGGUGUUUGAAAUUAUGUAUUUGUUAACUUUUUAGAAAUGCUGUAGUGCACUUACAUGGUUAUUAAUGUACUAAUAUAAUUCACAGGGCCAGUUGUUAACUGUGGGACAGUCAAUUCUAAAGAACGGAUGUACUGCACUGAUACACAGCCUGUGAACAAACUCUCUCGGAAGAGUCGCAUGAGGGAUCAGGUACUACCACUCAAAUCUUGCAGUCAUGUCUUAACUUCAGUGUGACCUAGGAAACCUGUAGCGAAGUUUGACAGAUUUAUUGAUAAUUUAUUUAUUUGUUUAUUUUUCUUACAGUUUGGAGAAAUUGUCCCAAUCAAAUGCAAGACAAAGUCAAAACCCUCCAUCACAAAGUUUCCUUCUUUGACGUGGGAUGACUUAGAAGAAUUUAACCGAGUUACCCUCAACAUCAGAAGUCUGAGACUUGGGACACUGAACAUGAACUUCAGGGGAACAGUCACUUUUUCAGUAGAUUCUAUUGAAAUUCCAAACAAAGCUCAAAUUGUGGCAUCAGGAUUGAUCAGUUGUGAAUGGUGUACAGAGCAUAAACUGCCAGCUCUGUUUUUACAAACAACUGCUGCUGAAUGGCUUCGUCUAGGAGAUCUUACCAUUGGUAUGUCCACAGAUGUCAGGAUGUUGUGCAGUUGAAAGUGUCAGUCAGUAGGACAGCAUAGACUGCCUAUUUGUCUGUAAAGGGUUUUCCUACCAUCAAAUGUGCAUUCAAUUCUUUUUUAAAAACAUCCAAAUAUUGUGAAAUUAUCAAUAACAAUUUACGCUAGGACAAGGUGUAAAAUUCCAAAUUUUGUCAAAGCCAAAUUGCAAAAAAAGAGCGAAGCUUGAAAAAAAAGAAAAACAGUAAUAUAUCAGGCUAUAAGCACCUCCAGUUAUUUUUUAAAAAAA